UCCGAGUGGUUCCUGCUAAAGGAACCUUUUGUCAGUCGUAAAACCACUAAUGAAUAAGGGGUGGGCAAGUUCUGGUGUCAGCCGCCGCGGUAAAACCAGCACCUCAAGUGGUCAGGAUGAUUAUUGGGCCUAAAGCAUCCGUAGCCUGGUGCAUAAGUUUUCGGUUAAAUCCAUAUGCUCAACAUAUGGGCUGCCGGGAAUACUGUGCACCUAGGGAGUGGGAGAGGAAGACGGUACUCGGUAGGAAGGGGUAAAAUCCUUUGAUCUAUUGAUGACCACCUGUGGCGAAGGCGGUCUUCCAGAACACGUUCGACGGUGAGGGAUGAAAGCUGGGGGAGCAAACCGGAUUAGAUACCCGGGUAGUCCCAGCUGUAAACUAUGCAAACUCAGUGAUGCAUUGGCAUGUAGCUAAUGCAGUGCCGCAGGGAAGCCGUUAAGUUUGCCGCCUGGGAAGUACGUACGCAAGUAUGAAACUUAAAGGAAUUGGCGGGGGAGCACCACAAGGGGUGAAGCCUGCGGUUCAAUUGGAGUCAACGCCAGAAAUCUUACCCGGAGAGACAGCAGAAUGAAGGUCAAGCUGA
rnacentral:rRNA from 1 species